UACAGAGGGUGCAAGCGUUAAUCGGAAUUACUGGGCGUAAAGCGCGCGUAGGUGGUUUGUUAAGUUGGAUGUGAAAUCCCCGGGCUCAACCUGGGAACUGCAUUCAAAACUGACAAGCUAGAGUAUGGUAGAGGGUGGUGGAAUUUCCUGUGUAGCGGUGAAAUGCGUAGAUAUAGGAAGGAACACCAGUGGCGAAGGCGACCACCUGGACUGAUACUGACACUGAGGUGCGAAAGCGUGGGGAGCAAUCAGG
rnacentral:rRNA from 1 species